CCAGUCGGCCGGACGGCCGCUGCUUUGGCAGAGGAAAGUCCGGGCUCCAUGGAAACACGGUGCCGGAUAACGUCCGGCGAGGGUGACCUCAGGGAAAGCGCCACAGAAAGCAAACCGCCCUGAGCCUUCGGGUUCAGGGUAAGGGUGAAAGGGUGCGGUAAGAGCGCACCGCGCGGGUGGCAACACAUCGCGGCACGGCAAGCCCCACCGGGAGCAAAACCGAAUAGGGAUGACGGAAGGCGGCAACGUCUUCAGCCUGUUUCCAGGGCGUCGUCCGGGUUGGUUGCUUGAGGCGGAUCGCAAGAUCCGUCCCAGAGGAAUGGCCGUCACGCGCGUGGGCUUGCCCAAGCGCCAUACAGAACCCGGCUUACAGGCCGGCUGGCAAU
rnacentral:RNase_P_RNA from 1 species